rnacentral:rRNA from 1 species
UACGUGAGGCAGCAAGCGUUGUUCGGAAUUACUGGGCGUAAAGAGUGUGUAGGCGGUGUCGUAAGUUUGGCGUGAAAUCUCCCCGGCUUAACUGGGAGGGUGCGCCGAAGACUGCGGUGCUUGAGGAUCGGAGAGGAAAGUGGAAUUUCUGGUGUAGCGGUGAAAUGCGUAGAUAUCAGAAGGAACACCUGUGGUGUAGACGGCUUUCUGGACGAUUCCUGACGCUGAGACACGAAAGCGUGGGUAGCAAACAGG